CGCGGCCUAUCAGCUUGUUGGUGAGGUAAUGGCUCACCAAGGCGACGACGGGUAGCCGGCCUGAGAGGGCGACCGGCCACACUGGGACUGAGACACGGCCCAGACUUCUACGGGAGGCAGCAGUGGGGAAUGUUGCACAAUGGGCGAAAGCCUGAUGCAGCGACGCCGCGUGAGGGAUGACGGCCUUCGGGUUGUAAACCUCUUUCAGCAGGGAAGAAGCGAAAGUGACGGUACCUGCAGAAGAAGCGCCGGCUAACUACGUGCCAGCAGCCGCGGUAAUACGUAGGGCGCGAGCGUUGUCCGGAAUUAUUGGGCGUAAAGAGCUCGUAGGCGGCUUGUCGCGUCGGUUGUGAAAGCCCGGGGCUUAACCCCGGGUCUGCAGUCGAUACGGGCAGGCUAGAGUUCGGUAGGGGAGAUCGGAAUUCCUGGUGUAGCGGUGAAAUGCGCAGAUAUCAGGAGGAACACCGGUGGCGAAGGCGGAUCUCUGGGUCGAUACUGACGCUGAGGAGCGAAAGCGUGGGGAGCGAACAGGAUUAGAUACCCUGGUAGUCCACGCCGUAAACGGUGGGCACUAGGUGUGGGCAACAUUCCACGUUGUCCGUGCCGCAGCUAACGCAUUAAGUGCCCCGCCUGGGGAGUACGGA
rnacentral:rRNA from 1 species